UACGGAGGAUCCAAGCGUUAUCCGGAUUUAUUGGGUUUAAAGGGUGCGUAGGCGGCCUAUUAAGUCAGGGGUGAAAGACGGUAGCUUAACUAUCGCAGUGCCUUUGAUACUGAUGGGCUUGAAUGAACUAGAGGUAGGCGGAAUGUGACAAGUAGCGGUGAAAUGCAUAGAUAUGUCACAGAACACCAAUUGCGAAGGCAGCUUACUAUGGUUUUAUUGACGCUGGAGGCACGAAAGCGUGGGGAUCAAACAGG
rnacentral:rRNA from 1 species